CGUGUCCGAGUGGUUAAGGAGGCAGACUUGAAAUCUGCUGGGCUCAGCCCGCGCGGGUUCAAACCCCGUCGCU
rnacentral:tRNA from 1 species